rnacentral:rRNA from 1 species
UUGGAGGGCAAGUCUGGUGCCAGCAGCCGCGGUAAUUCCAGCUCCAAUAGCGUAUAUUAAAGUUGUUGCAGUUAAAAAGCUCGUAGUUGAAUUUCGAGAUCAAUUUUCUUGGUCAUACCUUUGUAUGUACUGGUCUUAUUGAUUUCUCCCUUCUGAUGAACCAUGAUGUCAUUAAUUUGGUGUUAUGGGGAAUCAGGACUAUUACUUUGAAAAAAUUAGAGUGUUUAAAGCAGGCUCACGCUUGAAUACACUAGCAUGGAAUAAUGAAAUAGUACGUUUGAUUCUAUUUUGUUGGUUUCUAGGAUUGACGUAAUGAUUAAUAGGGAUAGUUGGGGGCAUUAGUAUUCAAUUGUCAGGGGUGAAAUUCUUGGAUUUAUUGAAGACUAACUACUGCGAAAGCAUUUGCCAAGGAUGUUUUCAUUAAUCAAGAACGAAGGUUAGGGGAUCGAAGACGAUCAGAUACCGUCGUAGUCUUAACCAUAAACUAUGCCGACUAGGGAUCGGAUGAUGUUAAUUCUUUAAUGACUCAUUCGGCGCCUUACGGGAAAC